GGUUCUGUUUGCUGAGCCCUGAGGGGGAGGGGGGCCGCCCGGGCCUGAGCUGCUGGAGGGGAAGCAGGCCCAUGCCCCACCUGGGGUGGUCUGAACUCCACAGAGCCCCGGCAGGCCCAGGCUGGGGCCAGGGGCCAGGUGCAGGCUGCCAGACUGCCCACACUUAACCAAAGCCCAGGUGGCAGGAUGAUACCUCCCGGUCCUGGGUUGAUGGUGGGACAGGAAAAGGACUUUGAUUUCAGUAUGUCACCCUGGAAAGACGCUGGGUCUAAAGGCAGGUCUGGGGUACCAGUAGCAGCGCUGGGGUUGCUAGUGGGGAGCAAACAGGCCAAGGUGGGUGUGCCUGGUGUAGAGCAUGGUCGGCUUUUGUCUUUCAGGUGCUAUCCACUGGGUUUGUGGUCCUGGAAUUCAAAAUAAAUUGAGGGAAAGAAUAACUAGGACAGGACGGGCCAGAGAGAACGGCCAGGUUACUAGAGUCGUCCACCACCACGGCACAUCAGCCCCAAGUUCUCUGAUAUCUUCCCACAGAUGGGUGUUUCUGGAGGGUAACUGGACCUGCUCACCCUGGGCUCUGGUUGGCUCCUGGGGGGUGCCUCCCAGCUGUGCUUGGCCUGACUAGAACCUCUAGCAAGAUACUUCAGAAACCUCCUGCCCAGCCUCUGUCCCUCCUGCUCCCACCAGCUGGCCAGCCAGGAGACUGCCUCCUCCCCAGGCCUGUUCCCCUGCUGGGACUCCCAAGAGUCCCCAGCCUGCUGACCCUGGGCUCCUCACUGUCCACGUCCCUUGCACAGCCAGUGGCCAUGAGCAGCCUGGGCCUGGGGUGUCCCAGCUUCCAGGGUCUCCAGUCCCCCCUGGACUCCUCACCUUUCUUCCCUCUCCCCUGGGCCAGGCCCCACAGCAAGUCCUCCUAAGGGCCUGGAGCCCCCAACUGCCCCUGACCACCCCAGCUGCUCCUGGGCUUCAGGGUGGGUAGCAGGGAGCCUGGGGCCUGUGAAUGCUGAGUUGUGUGGUGAGGCUGCUGCCCUGUGGGUGCCCAGGUGUGGCCUGGCUGGGGGGCAGCAGGAGUCCUGGACCGGAGCCUUCAGCUUAUGGCCAGAGGCAGCUGGAGGGGGCGGGGCUCAGGAGGUUGAGUGACUUGAGCAACCUCCCGACUGGCCCAGGGCCUUCCCCAGGCCCCUAUGGCGAUAGGGGCUCGUGGCCCCUCCAGAGCUCAGGGCAGCUGCAAUCUCCAGGGCCCCCCUUUCUGUGGAGAGGGUCUCAGGAAGAUAUGAGGGCGCUGCUGGGCGUGAUGGACACAGGCCGAGCAGGCCUGGGGGGCGUGCUCUCCUUCCUGUGGGCAAGAGGUUGGCUGGCCCCUUGGACUUCCUCCAAGGACCCCUGAAAGCCCACAGGGACACUGAUGCCACUCAGGAAGAGUGAACCUGCCCUGAGCCCACAAUGAAGACAAGCCCAGGUCUCCCAGACCAAGGUCUCCAAGCUUUGCAGGACUCCUGGGACACUCCCCAGGAGGCCCCACCACAGCCCCCUGCUCAGGUGCUGGAUCCUCCUUGGGACUGACUGUGAACAGGGCAGUGGCCACACACAAGGUCCCCUUCACACCCUGUGUGACUGAUGAUCCCUGCCCAGGCCUAGUGAUGGAAGGGGGCGUAGGUCAGGGGUCAGAGGUAAACCAGUGGUUCUGCCCUCAUACAGGCAGGAGAACUCCUGUGGGGUAACAGGGGCUUGCCCCUCCUCACUGGAGUCAGGGCACCAUGGUGAGGCUCGUGGCCCCUCAUUGGAGCCCCUGCCCCAGAGAUCUCACCCCUCAUGCAUGCCCCUUCCUCCUUGUCCCCCUCUUGCGAGCCUGUCCCCACCGACAACAGCACCCCUCGGUGCACGGCCAGCAAGCUUCACCGCCUUGCGUCUAGGUGCAGUGCGGGCCGGGGUGGGGGCCAGGCCUGGGGAGAUGGCAGGUAGGGCCCAGCACCCUGUGGCCCAACUUGCCUCCUGCCACUCCAAAGCAAUUACAGUGACCCUUGAGCCCUGACCUUCUCUGGAGGUCCAGGCAGAGAGACUGUGGUGGGGGACAGUUUAGGGGAACAGAGAUGCUGGAAAUUCCCACCAUUUGACAGCCCUUCCCCAGGGUCACAGAACCUUCCUCAGGCCUGCUAAGAGGGACUUUGACCCCCAUUUGUCCCCCAGAUCCACCAGGGGCUCCUGGAGGACCACACACAGAUUCUCCUGCCCCAGAGGGUGACCCCCCAUAUCCCAUUCCAUGCCCCCAGCUACUCGCAGGAUCAAGCAUUGCCCUCCCCAGUGCUGUCCCCAAGUUCCCCAGCCCAGCCCCUUCGCUGCUCCCCUCCCAGGCUGAGCGCCUCUCCCCACACAUGCUGGUCAGCCACUCGCUGGGGGCCUGAUCUGGGAACCUAGGGGCCCCUGACGUUGCCGUCCUAGAGGAUGAGGUGUGAGAAGGGGCCCUGCCUGUCGUGACCACCCUUCUCCCAGCCCAGGGCCUGUGAGAGCUGUGGUCCCCGGACAGGAGAGGCCGCAGCCAGGGAAGGGCCAGGGAGGCUUUGCUCCUUCCUGGCACUGCUGGCUCUGCGGACCCUGGCAGGUGAGCCCACGGGUGGGAACCCACACUUGGUCAUCCCACUGGCCACAGCAAGAGGAGUGACCUGAGCAACCUCCCUGCUGUCCUCCUGGGACACAGGGACGGACACCAGAGCCCUGCCGCUUUCUAUGAUGUGGGAGGGGGAAGGCCUGUCGCUGAGGGUGGCGGGAAGGGUGCCUGGGGCUGGAGUUGCACACUGACCCCUGGGCAAGGAAGGCCACCCCUGAGAACCUCUUGAGUGUGGGUUUCCUGGUGCCGAGCCUGAACAAGAACAGGUGUGACCCUCCUGUUCAGGCCCUGGAGUUCUGGGAGGGGCCGGGCAGGGCGAGUGAAGGGGCGGGGGCAGCAGCACUGGCUUCUGGGAGGAUGGGCUCCAGGGACAAAGGAUCGUGCUUGUUGCCAGUCUGGACCCUGAAAUCUCUGACCGCGCGGUGCCCUCUGGCUUGCAAGAGCGAGAGCCUGGAUGCAAAGCUCCACCUUCCCCGCUGCCCCGCUGCUGGGAGGUCACAUGACAACCACCCCCGACUCCACUCCAGGCCAUGUUGAUGUCAGGCAGCCCCGGACUCACAGCCUCAUUGUAGUGGGGAAACCCCACAGCAUGUGGCAGAGCCGACAUGGUGCCCACGUUAAGGAAGAAAAGAGGGGGCACCUGGCUCCAGGGAGUUGCCUCCCUGUGACCCUCAUGGUAUUCAUCACCAGGACGGAGUCCAUGUCCCACGGAGCUGAAGAAUGAGACCGUGAACAGCAGAGGUUCAUUUAAGAAAGUGAUAGAGGACAGACCCCCUUCUAGCCCUCAGCGCUUACCUCUAUUGUCAGUCCUCUUCCUUGUCCCUCCCCACACCGAGAGCAAAGCACUGGAACUUGUUUUUGCUUCAGGACAAAAUAAUCAUCAGUGGUUGGUUCUCUUUCUAGUUUUGAUCAAAAAGAAUUCAGACAUUAAUCAGUUUCCCCUUCUCCCGACUGCUCCUCCUCCUUCCCUGGCUACACCCUGCCUUUUUAAACUUCAGAAGCAGUUGUUGGCUGACUUCCUCUCAACCCCUCUGGACUCUAGCAGAUUUCCUCUUCACUGACCCUCACCUUUGUACCAGUGCUGACUGCCUGACCCUCCCUGCCUCACCUGCUCCGCCACAGCUCCAGACCGUGUGCACGCUGCGGCUCCAUGGCCAGCCCUGGCGAGGCCAGCCGGGCCCACCCUCUCCGAUGUUUGGUUAUUUGCCAAGGUUGCAGAGCAGGGAAGGAGCCUGCAGAUUCAAUAUCUUGAAAGGACACAUGGGCAGGAUCCUGACAGUGGUGAGGACACAGAAGACCCAGGGUGGUCAGUGCAGCUGUGGGCGGGGCUCAGACCUGCAGAGGCUGAGCCAGAGUCGCUCUCAGAGGCACCUCUGCCCACAGUGAGCCUGGCUGUGCGGGUCUGGCGGCCUUUGGUGUCACCUGUCUCCACCGGCUGGUCAGGCCCUGGCGGUUUCUGCCAUGGAUCGAAAGGCCAGUUCCUAGGGGAUUCAGAGCAGAUGUCGCUGAGGUCCUUGAGACCUUCCCAGUUUUUAAGAAAGAAUGUUUUUUUCCUGACUCUCAGUAAGAAAUGUACCUGGGCGGCCAGCAGGACACGCUCUCCCAAGGGAAGCGUGGGCCUGGUGCACAGCCGUGUGCCCAAAGCAAGAGGCACAAAGACCACCCCGCCUUCGUGGGCGCACUCUGUGCUUCCUCUGUGCAACUUGAGAGUGUGUGGGUGUGCCCGCUUGGUGGGUCUCACAGCCCCAAAGCACAAUCUGCAGACUUGCAGAAACUGUCCUUCAAGAGAUUUCCGUGCCGGCUGGGGCUGUGGUUCAGUGGUAGAGCUUGCCUCGCAUAAACAAAUAAGAAAACACAAUCGUGUAGUGUCCAUCUACAACUAAAACAUAAAUAAAU
rnacentral:lncRNA from 1 species